rnacentral:rRNA from 1 species
UGGGGAAUAUUGGACAAUGGGCGCAAGCCUGAUCCAGCCAUGCCGCGUGAGUGAAGAAGGCCUUAGGGUUGUAAAGCUCUUUCACCGGUGAAGAUAGUGACGGUAGCCGGAGAAGAAGCCCCGGCUAACUCCGUGCCAGCAGCCGCGGUAAGACGGAGGGGGCUAGCGUUGUUCGGAAUCACUGGGCGUAAAGCGCGCGUAGGCGGUUUGGUAAGUUGGUUGUGAAAGCCCGGGGCUCAACCCCGGAUGUGCGUCCAAGACUGCCGGACUAGAGGCCGGGAGAGGGUGGUGGAAUUCCCAGUGUAGAGGUGAAAUUCGUAGAUAUUGGGAAGAACACCGGUGGCGAAGGCGGCCACCUGGCCCGGCCCUGACGCUGAGGCGCGAAAGCGUGGGGAGCAAACAGGAUUAGAUACCCCCGUAGUCC